rnacentral:SRP_RNA from 1 species
GCCAGGUGUGGUGGUGCAUGCCUGUAAUCCCAGCAACUCAGGAGGCUGAGGCAGGAGAAUUGCUUGAACCCGGGAGGUGGUGGUUGCAGUGAGCCAAGAUUGUGCCACUGCACUCCAGCCUGGGCAACAGAGUAAGAUUCUGUCUUUA